AGAGUUUGAUCCUGGCUCAGGAUGAACGCUAGCUACAGGCUUAACACAUGCAAGUCGAGGGGCAGCAUGGUCUUAGCUUGCUAAGGCCGAUGGCGACCGGCGCACGGGUGAGUAACACGUAUCCAACCUGCCGUCUACUCUUGGACAGCCUUCUGAAAGGAAGAUUAAUACAGGAUGGCAUCAUGAGUCCGCAUGUUCACAUGAUUAAAGGUAUUCCGGUAGACGAUGGGGAUGCGUUCCAUUAGAUAGUAGGCGGGGUAACGGCCCACCUAGUCUUCGAUGGAUAGGGGUUCUGAGAGGAAGGUCCCCCACAUUGGAACUGAGACACGGUCCAAACUCCUACGGGAGGCAGCAGUGAGGAAUAUUGGUCAAUGGGCGAGAGCCUGAACCAGCCAAGUAGCGUGAAGGAUGACUGCCCUAUGGGUUGUAAACUUCUUUUAUAAAGGAAUAAAGUCGGGUAUGGAUACCCGUUUGCAUGUACUUUAUGAAUAAGGAUCGGCUAACUCCGUGCCAGCAGCCGCGGUAAUACGGAGGAUCCGAGCGUUAUCCGGAUUUAUUGGGUUUAAAGGGAGCGUAGAUGGAUGUUUAAGUCAGUUGUGAAAGUUUGCGGCUCAACCGUAAAAUUGCAGUUGAUACUGGAUAUCUUGAGUGCAGUUGAGGCAGGCGGAAUUCGUGGUGUAGCGGUGAAAUGCUUAGAUAUCACGAAGAACUCCAAUUGCGAAGGCAGCCUGCUAAGCUGCAACUGACAUUGAGGCUCGAAAGUGUGGGUAUCAAACAGGAUUAGAUACCCUGGUAGUCCACACGGUAAACGAUGAAUACUCGCUGUUUGCGAUAUACUGCAAGCGGCCAAGCGAAAGCGUUAAGUAUUCCACCUGGGGAGUACGCCGGCAACGGUGAAACUCAAAGGAAUUGACGGGGGCCCGCACAAGCGGAGGAACAUGUGGUUUAAUUCGAUGAUACGCGAGGAACCUUACCCGGGCUUAAAUUGCAGAUGAAUUACGGUGAAAGCCGUAAGCCGCAAGGCAUCUGUGAAGGUGCUGCAUGGUUGUCGUCAGCUCGUGCCGUGAGGUGUCGGCUUAAGUGCCAUAACGAGCGCAACCCUUGUUGUCAGUUACUAACAGGUUCUGCUGAGGACUCUGACAAGACUGCCAUCGUAAGAUGUGAGGAAGGUGGGGAUGACGUCAGAUCAGCACGGCCCUUACGUCCGGGGCUACACACGUGUUACAAUGGGGGGUACAGAGGGCCGCUACCACGCGAGUGGAUGCCAAUCCCAAAAACCUCUCUCAGUUCGGACUGGAGUCUGCAACCCGACUCCACGAAGCUGGAUUCGCUAGUAAUCGCGCAUCAGCCACGGCGCGGUGAAUACGUUCCCGGGCCUUGUACACACCGCCCGUCAAGCCAUGGGAGCCGGGGGUACCUGAAGUGCGUAACCGCGAGGAGCGCCCUAGGGUAAAACUGGUGACUGGGGCUAAGUCGUAACAAGGUAGCCG
rnacentral:rRNA from 1 species